rnacentral:rRNA from 1 species
UGGCGACCGGCGCACGGGUGAGUAACACGUAUCCAACCUGCCGAUGACUCGGGGAUAGCCUUUCGAAAGAAAGAUUAAUGCCCGAUGGCAUAGUUCUUCCGCAUGGUAGAACUAUUAAAGAAUUUCGGUCAUCGAUGGGGAUGCGUUCCAUUAGCUUGUUGGCGGGGUAACGGCCCACCAAGGCAUCGAUGGAUAGGGGUUCUGAGAGGAAGGUCCCCCACAUUGGAACUGAGACACGGUCCAAACUCCUACGGAAGGCAGCAG